CGGCGCGCAGGUCGGCGCGGAGGCGCGUGCGGCCGCGCCUGCUCGCUGCGGUGCGGAGGAGGCCGGCGCUCUCCAGGGUCGGCGCCGGGCUCGGGGCGGGCUGAGGGGCGGGCUGAGCGGCCCCGCCUCCCGCGUGCUGCACCGAGCGCCGCGGCCCCGCCGCGCCUUUAAACCGCGGGGCCGGCCGCGCUCGCGGGCACUCGGCGGCGGGCGGCGAGCGGCGAGCGUGCCGCGGCUGUGUAGUGGCGCUGUGACUCUUUCUCUCUCUAUCACUCUCCCCCGGCUCCUUAGCGGGAGCGCCGGCCAGGGACCCGAGCCGCGCCGUACGCAGCGUCCACCCGCCUGCUCCGCAGGUCCCCGAGCGUCGGGCGGCGAUGGAGCCCGGGCCCGCGGCGCCCUCGUCUGGCGCCCCGCGGCCCGCCCGGGAUGGGGACGCGCCGCUGGCUGCCGCCGCCGGGGUGGACCUGCCCGGCACGGCCGUGCCCUCCGGCCAAGAGGAUGCUACUACGGCUGGGAGGCAGGCUGGCGGCGGGGUGCGCGGAGAGGGAACCCCAGCGGCGGGCGAUGGGCUGGGCAGACCUCUGGGGCCCACCCCCAGCCAGAGCCGCUUCCAGGUGGACCCGGUUUCCGAGAACGCCGGGCGGGCCGCGGCGGCUGCGGCGGCGGCGGCGGCGGCUGCGGCUGCGGCCGGGGCGGCGGGCAAGGAGACCCCCGCGGCCGGGAAAGCCGGCGGUGAGAGCGGCGUGGCCAAGGGCAGCGAGGAAGCCAAGGGCCGCUUCCGCGUGAACUUCGUGGACCCGGCUGCCUCGUCGUCGGCGGACGACAGCCUGUCGGAUGCGGCGGGGGUCGGUGGCGACGGGCCCAACGUGAGCUUCCAGAACGGCGGGGACACGGUGCUGAGCGAGGGCAGCAGCCUGCACUCGGGGGGUGGCAGUGGACACCACCAGCAGUACUACUAUGACACCCACACCAACACCUACUACCUGCGCACCUUCGGCCACAACACCAUGGACGCGGUGCCCAGGAUCGACCACUACCGGCACACGGCCGCGCAGCUGGGCGAGAAGCUGCUCCGGCCCAGCCUGGCAGAGCUCCACGAUGAGCUGGAAAAGGAACCUUUUGAGGAUGGCUUUGCGAAUGGAGAAGAAAGUACUCCAACCAGAGAUGCUGUGGUCGCAUACACUGCCGAGAGUAAAGGAGUUGUAAAGUUUGGCUGGAUCAAGGGUGUAUUAGUCCGCUGCAUGUUAAACAUUUGGGGUGUGAUGCUCUUUAUUAGAUUGUCAUGGAUCGUGGGUCAAGCUGGGAUAGGUCUCUCUGUCGUCGUAAUAGCAAUGGCCACUGUUGUGACAACUAUCACAGGAUUGUCUACUUCAGCAAUAGCUACCAAUGGGUUCGUGAGAGGAGGAGGAGCGUACUAUUUAAUCUCUAGAAGUCUAGGGCCGGAAUUUGGUGGUGCAAUUGGCUUGAUCUUUGCUUUUGCCAAUGCGGUGGCCGUUGCUAUGUAUGUUGUCGGAUUCGCAGAGACUGUGGUGGAGCUGCUUAAGGAACAUUCCAUACUUAUGAUAGAUGAAAUCAAUGAUAUCCGAAUUAUUGGAGCCAUUACAGUCGUGAUUCUUCUGGGCAUCUCAGUGGCUGGAAUGGAGUGGGAAGCAAAGGCUCAGAUUGUGCUGCUGGUGAUCCUUCUCCUGGCCAUCGCCGACUUCGUCAUAGGGACGUUUAUCUCACUGGAGAGCAAGAAGCCCAAGGGUUUCUUUGGCUAUAAAUCUGAAAUAUUUAAUGAGAACUUUGGGCCGGAUUUUCGAGAAGAAGAGACUUUCUUCUCUGUAUUUGCCAUCUUUUUUCCUGCUGCAACUGGUAUUCUAGCUGGAGCAAAUAUCUCAGGUGAUCUUGCAGAUCCUCAGUCAGCCAUACCCAAAGGAACACUCUUAGCCAUUUUGAUUACUACAGUGGUUUACAUAGGAAUUGCAGUGUCUGUGGGUUCGUGUGUUGUUCGGGAUGCCACUGGCAAUGUUAAUGAUACCAUUACAACAGAGCUGACAAACUGUACUUCUGCAGCCUGCAAACUAAACUUUGACUUCUCUUAUUGUGAGAGCAAUACUUGUUCUUACGGGCUAAUGAACAACUUUCAGGUGAUGAGCAUGGUGUCAGGAUUUGCACCCUUGAUCUCUGCAGGGAUCUUUUCAGCCACGCUCUCGUCAGCACUAGCAUCUCUUGUGAGUGCUCCCAAAAUAUUUCAGGCUCUAUGUAAGGACAAUAUCUACCCAGCUUUCCAGAUGUUUGCUAAAGGUUAUGGGAAAAAUAAUGAACCGCUUCGUGGUUACAUCUUAACAUUUCUGAUUGCACUGGGAUUCAUCCUGAUUGCUGAAUUGAACGUUAUUGCUCCAAUUAUCUCUAAUUUCUUCCUUGCAUCGUAUGCCUUAAUCAACUUUUCAGUAUUCCAUGCAUCACUUGCAAAAUCUCCAGGAUGGCGUCCUGCAUUCAAAUACUACAACAUGUGGAUCUCCCUUAUUGGAGCAAUUCUUUGUUGCAUAGUGAUGUUUGUCAUUAACUGGUGGGCUGCGUUGCUCACAUAUGUGAUAGUCCUUGGGCUGUACAUUUAUGUUACUUACAAAAAACCAGAUGUGAACUGGGGAUCCUCCACACAAGCGCUGACUUACCUCAGUGCACUGCAGCAUUCAAUCCGUCUUUCUGGGGUGGAGGACCAUGUGAAAAACUUCAGACCACAGUGCCUUGUAAUGACAGGUUCUCCAAACUCACGGCCUGCUUUACUUCAUCUUGUUCAUGACUUCACGAAAAAUGUUGGUUUAAUGAUCUGUGGCCAUGUGCAUAUGGGCCCCAGAAGACAAGCUAUGAAAGAGAUGUCCAUUGAUCAAGCCAGAUAUCAGCGAUGGCUCAUUAAAAACAAAAUGAAGGCUUUCUAUGCUCCGGUUCACGCAGAUGACUUGCGAGAAGGUGCACAAUACUUGAUGCAGGCUGCUGGACUUGGUCGUAUGAAGCCAAACACACUUGUCCUGGGAUUUAAGAAAGAUUGGUUACAAGCCGAUAUGAGGGAUGUGGAUAUGUAUAUAAACUUAUUUCAUGAUGCUUUUGACAUACAAUUUGGAGUUGUGGUUAUCCGCCUGAAGGAAGGACUGGAUAUAUCACACCUCCAAGGUCAGGAAGAAUUAUUAUCUUCACAAGAAAAAUCACCUGGUACCAAGGAUGUGGUAGUAAAUGUGGAUUACAGUAAAAAGUCAGAUCAAGAUACUUGCAAAUCAUCUGGUGAAAAAUCCAUUACACAGAAAGAUGAGGAAGAGGAUGGCAAGACUCCAACUCAGCCACUGUUGAAAAAAGUCAUGCUGCGUUUGGGAGAUACAGUCAUGUCAGCGUACAUGAAUUUUAUGAGAAGGAGAGAGAGAAUCCAAAGGCCCUAUUGUGCCUUUAAAUGUAGCUGACCAAAAGCUUCUUGAAGCUAGCACACAGUUUCAGAAAAAACAAGGGAAGAAUACUAUAGAUGUCUGGUGGCUUUUUGAUGAUGGAGGUUUGACAUUGUUGAUACCCUAUCUUCUGACUACCAAGAAAAAGUGGAAAGAUUGUAAGAUCCGAGUAUUCAUUGGUGGAAAAAUAAACAGAAUAGACCAUGACCGGAGAGCGAUGGCUACUUUAUUGAGUAAAUUCCGGAUAGACUUCUCUGAUAUCAUGGUCCUUGGAGAUAUCAACACCAAGCCAAAAAAAGAAAAUAUUAUUGCUUUUGAUGACAUGAUCGAGCCGUACAGACUUCACGAAGAUGAUAAAGAACAGGACAUUGCAGAUAAGAUGAAAGAAGAUGAGCCUUGGCGAAUCACAGAUAAUGAGCUUGAGCUUUAUAAGACUAAGACAUAUCGACAGAUCAGGUUAAAUGAAUUAUUAAAGGAGCAUUCAAGCACAGCUAACAUUAUUGUCAUGAGUCUUCCAGUCGCACGGAAAGGCGCUGUGUCCAGUGCUCUGUAUAUGGCUUGGUUAGAAGCUCUCUCGAAGGACCUGCCACCAGUCCUCCUGGUUCGUGGGAAUCAUCAGAGCGUCCUUACCUUCUACUCAUAACUGUUCUGCACCAUGGACUUCCUCUAAGGAUGGCACUUCAGUGCCCAGUCAAAGUGACUGUAUCGUCAGGAACACCACAGCAUCGCAGUGGCAGACGGGGACUGCUUCACUACUUCAUUAUUGGAAAGCACAUGGAAAGUUGCCCCAUUGAUAGAUAGAUGGAGACUUCAGUUGUAGUCUACUCCAGAUCUCAAUCUUAAUGACUGCUAAUUCUUUCUUGUUGGACUGAAGUUCAUGAGAGUAAAAUUUUCCUUUGCUACUUGAAAGCAAUAAGAGUGAGUUAUUUUUUGAUUGCUGAAAGGAGUGCAAAGCCUUUAGCCUUGAGGUGCCUUCUGAAAUAACCAAAUUUCAUCCAGAGACCUGUCGUCUUUUGUAAAUUUCUAGAAUGUUAAACUCUGCCUUCAGAUGUUAUUCUUGUUUUUAAUCUCUGUUAUCCUAAGUGGACACUGCUUUUCUCCUCCCACCGACCAGUUAGUGUUGAGAACUGUGUGUUUUGUAUUACUUUUGUAAAAGUAUCUGUUAGAUACUGAAGAGGAUUAGGACAAGCUAAUAAAAUAUGUGGGGAAAGUAUCCAAAAAAUGGAGCCCAAGGUUAGGUUUAUAUGAAUAUAUAUAUAUACAUAUAUAGAGGGAGAGCUAGGAAAAAGAGGCCCAGACCAACUUUCGGUUAGAAUUAUGAAUUAUUUCUUUUAAAUCAUAGAGAUGACUGAUGAUCUACCCAGUAAUUCUUGUAUAAUGCUUUUAAAAAAGAAUCAUGUUUUUUUUUUAAACAAAACCGUGAGAUCAUUUGUAUUAUUUUUAAAAGAUCUCUUGAUUUAGAAUUUUCUCUCAAAUGUGAGGGACUUUUAUGACAUGCUAACAUAUUUUUUUUAGAGGAAAUUUAGACAAAGCAGUGCCAUUUAAUAGAACAUUUCAAUAAACACUAUGGGGAUUUCACUGUCCUAUGCCAUCCUUUAUUUAAAAAAAAAAGAUUAAAAUUUUACCAAUGGUUAAAAGGAGCACUGUUUCCUUAGUGAAAUGGUUUUAGGCUUCAUUUAUUCAAGUAUCAAGUACAGUUAGUUUUAAUACACUCAGGAUUGAACAGAUUGUUCUGAACAUUGAAACUUAAUCCAUUCUUAAUACUUUAAAACUUGUGUUAAAGAAAACUGCCAGUUUGUGCGUUUGACCUUGUCUGCUAAUGCACUCGACAGCGUGCAUGUGCACAUGUGCUGCCUGAAAGCUUUAUAUGCAGACAGACAGCGCGCAUGUGCACACGUGCUAUCCUGAAAGCUUUAUAUACAGUUGUCAGUGUGAUGUUUCUCAGCUUCAAGGAAGGAUUUUCUAAAAACAUUUCAAGGGAUUCAUAUCUACAUGUCUGUAUGUGUGUAUGUUAUACAUACACAGGUGCAUAUGUGUAUAUGUAAUGAAAUUUAUGUUGCCAGUGUUUCAGAUUUUAAAGUGAUCACGAUUUGGUAGAUUACAGAUAUUUUUUUGUUGUUGUUUUAGUUUUUUCUUUUUCUUUUUUUAAGUAAACAGUCAAGUCAGGUCAAGCAAGACGUUAAAGAUUUCACGGAGGACAGAGACAAUUUGAAGACCAUAGUGUGACUUCAUACAGUUAUCCAGUUAGGUAAAGGGCUAACAAGUGGAUGAUCUCUAAGUUUCGGUGGAGAACGGUCCCAGAUUUUUGUCAUCUUAAGGGAAAUGUCAGAAAAGCGUUCUCAGUUGUGGGGUACUUGUGCUGCGCGGAUGCAGACUGGGUCAGUACCAGCCGGAUAUCUACUCAUUUCCAUUCAGAAUAUUAAGAAAACAGGUUAAAUGAUUUUUAAAAAAAGUUUUAUUUACAUUAUAAUACAAUAUUUUCCAUUUGUUGUAAAUUUUGCAGAGUUUAGGGCAGUAUAAAAGAGUCCCACCAGGAAACCAUACCAUGCGUGAAUUUGCUGAAUGGAAGCUAGGGCGUGGGCCGAGCGCUGCUAUCUUGAAAUGUGCACAGGUAGACUUGCCUGCCUUUUACUUUUAAAGCUUCCCCCCCCCCCCAUUCAGGAAACUUCACUGUGACCUGUAUGACAGAAACUAAUAUCAUACAUGUUACACGUGUGUUUAAAGGACACACAGUGAAUCUCGAUGCACCUAACAGGGAGGGAGGGUGAUACUGUUUGUGAUGUGAUGUUAGCAGCAGGUUUCCACCUUUAAAAACUACCAUUACGGUGGCUAACACUGGCUGCCUGGUCAAACAGUCUCAAGGUUGCAGUCGUACUCUAUAAAGUGAAAAUUCUCAACCAUUAGUUCUUAGAGAUGCUAGCUAGCAUUAAAGCUAUUUUUAUUUUAUGCCGACUUUUGAUUAUUUUGAUGCCAAAUUAUUUUUUAGUCCUAAUCGUUGAUAAUAACUUAAAAAUAAUUAUGCAGUGGCCUUUGAGCUCAUUAUUAUGAUAGGUAAAACAUCCGGUGGGUUCAAAGGGGACAUUGGUGUUGAUUAUUAACAGGUAACUAAAUCAGAUAUUUAUUUGUUGCGUCUUUCUCUUUGUGCUUUUAAGUUUUCCUCUCUACUUUUUUUCAUAUUGCUUUCUGACGUGUGUAUGUGUGUGUGUGUGUAUUUUUUUUAAGACUAUGGAAAUAAUUUAAAGAGUUGAGCUCUGGUGAUUAUCUGCUAAGUUUGAAAUGUAAUAUUUUGAUAAUACUGUACUGUUCCUGUGACAGACGCCUUUGUAAUGUUUUAACCCUGAGCAUUGCGGUUGCUGCUUUGUACAGAAGUUACUGCAAUAAAGGAAGUGGAGUCAUCACAAGUUUAAUACUUA